rnacentral:rRNA from 1 species
GACGAACGCUGGCGGCGUGCCUAAUACAUGCAAGUCGAACGCUUCUUUUUCACCGAACUUCGGUUCAUCGAAAAAGAGGAGUGGCGAACGGGUGAGUAACACGUGGGUAACCUGCCCAUCAGAAGGGGAUAACACUUGGAAACAGGUGCUAAUACCGUAUAAUGCUUUUUCUCGCAUGAGAGCAAGCUGAAAGGCGCUUUUGCGUCACUGAUGGAUGGACCCGCGGUGCAUUAGCUAGUUGGUGAGGUAACGGCUCACCAAGGCCACGAUGCAUAGCCGACCUGAGAGGGUGAUCGGCCACACUGGGACUGAGACACGGCCCAGACUCCUACGGGAGGCAGCAGUAGGGAAUCUUCGGCAAUGGACGAAAGUCUGACCGAGCAACGCCGCGUGAGUGAAGAAGGUUUUCGGAUCGUAAAACUCUGUUGUUAGAGAAGAACAAGGAUGAGAGUAAAAUGUUCAUCCCUU